rnacentral:rRNA from 1 species
AUUGAACGCUGGCAGCAUGCUUUACACAUGCAAGUCGAACGGUAACAGGUUAAGCUGACGAGUGGCGAACGGGUGAGUAAUGCAUCGGAACGUGCCCGAUCGUGGGGGAUAACGCAGCGAAAGCUGCGCUAAUACCGCAUACGAUCUGAGGAUGAAAGCGGGGGACCGUAAGGCCUCGCGCGAUCGGAGCGGCCGAUGUCAGAUUAGGUAGUUGGUGGGGUAAAGGCUCACCAAGCCAACGAUCUGUAGCUGGUCUGAGAGGACGACCAGCCACACUGGGACUGGGACACGGCCCAGACUCCUACGGGAGGCAGCAGUGGGGAAUUUUGGACAAUGGGCGAAAGCCUGAUCCAGCAAUGCCGCGUGCAGGAAGAAGGCCUUCGGGUUGUAAACUGCUUUUGUACGGAGCGAAAAGGUUCUCUCUAAUACAGAGGGCUCAUGACGGUACCGUAAGAAUAAGCACCGGCUAACUACGUGCCAGCCGCCGCCGUAA